rnacentral:rRNA from 1 species
GGGUUGUGAGGUUAAGCGACUAAGCGUACACGGUGGAUGCCCUGGCAGUCAGAGGCGAUGAAGGACGUGCUAAUCUGCGAUAAGCGUCGGUAAGGUGAUAUGAACCGUUAUAACCGGCGAUUUCCGAAUGGGGAAACCCAGUGUGAUUCGUCACACUAUCAUUAACUGAAUCCAUAGGUUAAUGAGGCGAACCGGGGGAACUGAAACAUCUAAGUACCCCGAGGAAAAGAAAUCAACCGAGAUUCCCCCAGUAGCGGCGAGCGAACGGGGAGCAGCCCAGAGCCUGAAUCAGUGUGUGUGUUAGUGGAAGCGUCUGGAAAGGCGCGCGAUACAGGGUGACAGCCCCGUACACAAAAAUGCACAUGCUGUGAGCUCGAUGAGUAGGGCGGGACACGUGGUAUCCUGUCUGAAUAUGGGGGGACCAUCCUCCAAGGCUAAAUACUCCUGACUGACCGAUAGUGAACCAGUACCGUGAGGGAAAGGCGAAAAGAACCCCGGCGAGGGGAGUGAAAAAGAACCUGAAACCGUGUACGUACAAGCAGUGGGAGCACGCUUAGGCGUGUGACUGCGUACCUUUUGUAUAAUGGGUCAGCGACUUAUAUUCUGUAGCAAGGUUAACCGAAUAGGGGAGCCGAAGGGAAACCGAGUCUUAACUGGGCGUUAAGUUGCAGGGUAUAGACCCGAAACCCGGUGAUCUAGCCAUGGGCAGGUUGAAGGUUGGGUAACACUAACUGGAGGACCGAACCGACUAAUGUUGAAAAAUUAGCGGAUGACUUGUGGCUGGGGGUGAAAGGCCAAUCAAACCGGGAGAUAGCUGGUUCUCCCCGAAAGCUAUUUAGGUAGCGCCUCGUGAAUUCAUCUCCGGGGGUAGAGCACUGUUUCGGCAAGGGGGUCAUCCCGACUUACCAACCCGAUGCAAACUGCGAAUACCGGAGAAUGUUAUCACGGGAGACACACGGCGGGUGCUAACGUCCGUCGUGAAGAGGGAAACAACCCAGACCGCCAGCUAAGGUCCCAAAGUCAUGGUUAAGUGGGAAACGAUGUGGGAAGGCCCAGACAGCCAGGAUGUUGGCUUAGAAGCAGCCAUCAUUUAAAGAAAGCGUAAUAGCUCACUGGUCGAGUCGGCCUGCGCGGAAGAUGUAACGGGGCUAAACCAUGCACCGAAGCUGCGGCAGCGACACUAUGUGUUGUUGGGUAGGGGAGCGUUCUGUAAGCCUGUGAAGGUGUACUGUGAGGUAUGCUGGAGGUAUCAGAAGUGCGAAUGCUGACAUAAGUAACGAUAAAGCGGGUGAAAAGCCCGCUCGCCGGAAGACCAAGGGUUCCUGUCCAACGUUAAUCGGGGCAGGGUGAGUCGACCCCUAAGGCGAGGCCGAAAGGCGUAGUCGAUGGGAAACAGGUUAAUAUUCCUGUACUUGGUGUUACUGCGAAGGGGGGACGGAGAAGGCUAUGUUGGCCGGGCGACGGUUGUCCCGGUUUAAGCGUGUAGGCUGGUUUUCCAGGCAAAUCCGGAAAAUCAAGGCUGAGGCGUGAUGACGAGGCACUACGGUGCUGAAGCAACAAAUGCCCUGCUUCCAGGAAAAGCCUCUAAGCAUCAGGUAACAUCAAAUCGUACCCCAAACCGACACAGGUGGUCAGGUAGAGAAUACCAAGGCGCUUGAGAGAACUCGGGUGAAGGAACUAGGCAAAAUGGUGCCGUAACUUCGGGAGAAGGCACGCUGAUAUGUAGGUGAAGUCCCUCGCGGAUGGAGCUGAAAUCAGUCGAAGAUACCAGCUGGCUGCAACUGUUUAUUAAAAACACAGCACUGUGCAAACACGAAAGUGGACGUAUACGGUGUGACGCCUGCCCGGUGCCGGAAGGUUAAUUGAUGGGGUCAGCGCAAGCGAAGCUCUUGAUCGAAGCCCCGGUAAACGGCGGCCGUAACUAUAACGGUCCUAAGGUAGCGAAAUUCCUUGUCGGGUAAGUUCCGACCUGCACGAAUGGCGUAAUGAUGGCCAGGCUGUCUCCACCCGAGACUCAGUGAAAUUGAACUCGCUGUGAAGAUGCAGUGUACCCGCGGCAAGACGGAAAGACCCCGUGAACCUUUACUAUAGCUUGACACUGAACAUUGAGCCUUGAUGUGUAGGAUAGGUGGGAGGCUUUGAAGUGUGGACGCCAGUCUGCAUGGAGCCGACCUUGAAAUACCACCCUUUAAUGUUUGAUGUUCUAACGUUGACCCGUAAUCCGGGUUGCGGACAGUGUCUGGUGGGUAGUUUGACUGGGGCGGUCUCCUCCUAAAGAGUAACGGAGGAGCACGAAGGUUGGCUAAUCCUGGUCGGACAUCAGGAGGUUAGUGCAAUGGCAUAAGCCAGCUUGACUGCGAGCGUGACGGCGCGAGCAGGUGCGAAAGCAGGUCAUAGUGAUCCGGUGGUUCUGAAUGGAAGGGCCAUCGCUCAACGGAUAAAAGGUACUCCGGGGAUAACAGGCUGAUACCGCCCAAGAGUUCAUAUCGACGGCGGUGUUUGGCACCUCGAUGUCGGCUCAUCACAUCCUGGGGCUGAAGUAGGUCCCAAGGGUAUGGCUGUUCGCCAUUUAAAGUGGUACGCGAGCUGGGUUUAGAACGUCGUGAGACAGUUCGGUCCCUAUCUGCCGUGGGCGCUGGAGAACUGAGGGGGGCUGCUCCUAGUACGAGAGGACCGGAGUGGACGCAUCACUGGUGUUCGGGUUGUCAUGCCAAUGGCACUGCCCGGUAGCUAAAUGCGGAAGAGAUAAGUGCUGAAAGCAUCUAAGCACGAAACUUGCCCCGAGAUGAGUUCUCCCUGCCUCCUUGAGCGUCCUGAAGGACCGUUGAAGACGACGACGUUGAUAGGCCGG